rnacentral:rRNA from 1 species
AGAGUUUGAUCCUGGCUCAGGAUGGACGCUAGCUACAGGCUUAACACAUGCAAGUCGAGGGGCAGCAUGGUCUUAGCUUGCUAAGGCUGAUGGCGACCGGCGCACGGGUGAGUAACACGUAUCCAACCUGCCGUCUACUCUUGGACAGCCUUCUGAAAGGAAGAUUAAUACAAGAUGGCAUCAUGAGUCCGCAUGUUCACAUGAUUAAAGGUAUUCCGGUAGACGAUGGGGAUGCGUUCCAUUAGAUAGUAGGCGGGUAACGGCCCACUAGUCUUCGAUGGAUAGGGGUUCUGAGAGGAAGGUCCCCCANAUUGGAACUGAGACACGGUCCAAACUCCUACGGGUGGCA